CGUGCAGGCGGGUUGGUAAGCCAGAUGUGAAAGCCCUGGGCUCAACCCAGGAAGUGCAUUUGAAACUGCCAUCCUUGAGUAUGGGAGAGGAGAGUGGAAUUCCCAAUGUAGAGGUGAAAUUCGUAGAUAUUGGGAGGAACGCCCGUGGCGAAGGCGACUCUCUGGACCAAUACUGACGCUGAGACGCGAAAGCGUGGGGAGCAAACA
rnacentral:rRNA from 1 species